AUGGUGCGUUCGUCCCCGCAGUUUGGAGUAACCUUGGUUACCUACGAGUUGUUACAGCGAAUGUUCUACGUCGAUUUCGGAGGAAGCCGGCCGGAAGGUUCGGACAAGAUGCCGGAGCCAGAGGGUCCCGCUGUUUCCGAGAAUCCGCACCACCUCGGCGGGUACAGGCUAGCGGCGGCGACCUUCGACGGAAUAGAAACCAAGUUCGGACUCAAGUUGCCGAGGUUCCAGCUGUCGCCCGCCGUGAAACAAGCGCUGUGAUCGUGCACACCAGAGGGAUCCACUGUAGGCUAAUCUGUGAACACAUGCGGCAGCUUCAAUUCUCGCGGCACGCCGGUUUUCGAGUCGAUGGCUAACGAGGUUAUUCGAAUGCCGUUUGUUCUGCGGCGAAUCUCCGCAGUAGCGGGCUUCGAGAAAAUGGUCGGCCUCUAUCGGCAGCGCCACCUGUUGGUAGGAAUCGUUUUUUUAGCGGUGUAACCUCGAUUGUUCUUCUUCAGCUGUGAUAGUUUUUUGCUCGCACCCAGUCCCACAUCUCCUUGCCGCAUACUGCAUGUCAUCCGCUUGUGAACGCUUACGAUCCCUGCCAACAGGUGGAGCCGACGGCAGAUCACCGUGGUACGAAUCGGCAGGAAAAAAAUCGGCGUGGCUACUGGCGGGUCCAGAUCUGUAAACGUACAAACUGAGCAAUCGCACGCUGCCGCUUGCCACGAGCAAAGCCGUACCCAGUUGUUGCCCACGGCGACUAGCUAUUGCCCACGGCGGGUUCCGGUGUGAAAAAGAAACAGCAGUGGUUCGAUCCCCCGCGCGUGGGCUUUCUUGCCGUUGAGCGUAGAUUCCGGUCCCCCUAUCGAUAGAUUGUGAAAGCGGCGAGCGACGUCAAAGUAGCAAGCUUCACUGGGUGGAACCUAGACGUAGCAGACGACACCGACUCGAAAGAAGUGUCGUUGGGCGGUCGGUGAUUGGUGGAUAGGUCAAGGUCGCUGGGCGGUCGGUGACUGGUGGGUAGGUCAAGGUCGUUGGCCGGUCGGUGACUGGUGGGUAGGUCAAGGUCGUUGGGCGGUCGGUGACUGGUGGGUAGGUCAAGGUCGUUGGGCGGUCGGUGACUGGUGGGUAGGUCAAGGUCGUUGGGCGGUCGGUGACUGGUGGGUAGGUCAGGGUCGCUUUGUGAAGUAUUGGAUCGUCAUCCGAACUGGGGAAGAGGGGUCUUUUAGGCAAUUCAUGUGGAGCUGAAACACGCUCUGCCUUUAUGGCUUUAUAUUAUAUAUAUAAAUUUACAAUAUUAUAGAUAUAUAUGUCAUAAUGGGACUGUUAUACAGUGUGGCGAAUAGAGAGUAGCGGUUUGUUCAACGGGGUGUGUUAAGUGGGAGUGUGGCCAUCUUAGGUGCAGUUUUGUGCAGCACGAUGUUCACUUGUUCAACCCCCUAUGUUCUCUUGUUUGUGUUGAUGUGCAUGGUGGGAUGCGUAGGUCUCCCCUUGGGAUUGCAAUGCGCAGUGAUGAUUGCAGGGUAGGAAGGUAAACCUAUUCAAUAUCGGUACGAUGUGUUAGAGGUGAUUUCAAGCAGAGGGUAACCCAACCCCGAGCAGACACAUCCACCAACACUCCCCUUUUCUCUUAAAAUCGUAUUACCAGUUUUAAGGAAAGCGCGCGAGACUAUGUUCCUUUAAUUUAAAUUUAAUUUAAUUUAUUGCAAUUUUUUUUAGCUGGGCACAGCCCGCAAUCAGUUUCAGUUUGUGUUUGAGUUUACGCUUCACUCCGCUGGCAGAAAGUUGCAUCGCACUUUGGAUGCCUGCUUGGGUUGGGUGGAUGGCUGCUGGGGCCUUUUAUUGCAUUGUGAAAUGCCAGGACGAGUCCGUGUCGUGAAUGUGAAAGUUUGUAUUGUUCGAUCGUACUGUGUCGCGCAAGCGAUUGUGACUGUGUGUGUUUGUGUGCGUGUGCUUGUGGGGCUUUUUAGAUAGAUUCAUUCCUGUUUUUUUUAAAGGUUUUUUUCAUGUUUAGAGGUUAGCUGGUUACAUGAAUGCACUGCUGGUAAUGUGUAAACUCUUGCUGUCCUGUUUGGUUUCCAUCACAAUUUAACUGUGUUUUGUGGGUGAGUGUAGAAGACUUGUAGAAGAUUAGUAGUCGAAAUGGUUUGAUGUUAUUGUUGUAGCUGCAGCACUGAAUUUCACUUCUCGGUGCUCCAGGGGAAUACCACUUCAGAUUUCGUCUGGUUGUACUCUCGCUACGCAUGUGUCCGUCACAACGCUAUCGGUUUACAACUCGAAUGUAGCCUAGUGUUAAUUUCUUGAUUUUAUUUUGUGUAAUUCCUUUUUUUCGUAGUUAAUUUUUCGUGUCGCGUGCGUGCGUGCGUCGUCGAGCGUGUGUUUGCAGUGGCGUUAGUAGUUUUGCCUGGAUUCUGCAGGUGAAAUGCGUGAGCGUGACCGGGUCAUCCUAGUCCAGUGACUGACUAGAUGGCCUGUCGACCGCUAGUAGAGGUGAUAGUGUGGUUGUUGAAAGUUUCCACCAGGUGGCAGCAUGAAAACCUCGAUCUCUUCUCGCACCUUCCUCAUUCGUUGAUCUCAUAAUGUGCUCCCACGAACUGUUUUCCACAACUUCACACUGUAUCUAUUGCGUUAGUAACACAUGUCACCUGUAGGUUUUAUAUGUAGCUGCUGCUGCUGCCACCUGUGGUCGCCAUUCGGCUUUUCGUGCUCCCGUAAGAGGAUUCUCAAGUGAUGGUCGCACUGGCAGUUAUUGUUGGCGCGUGCAUCACUAGUAACUGUGCCCAUUGUGAGCGAUGCAGUCAGACACGCCCGCCUAAACUAAAAUUGCAACGAUGGAAAUCGCGAUUACGUGAUAAAAUCAAGAAUAAAUAAUAUUAGAUUAAUCUAUUAUUAUUCACUCCUGAUAAGAUCACGACGAAUAUGUGCUUCCCCGAUUACAACACGGCUUUCUAUAAAUGCACCCAGGCAGGAAUGCACGUUUAAACUAUAAUAUGUUCAAGCGUGGAGCCACGACUGGUGUAAGUAAAUGUGCGUCGAAUUCUGUGUAUGUAAUGGGUCGCGUUCCAAAACUGGGUGUGAUUGUUGGGGAUGCUGGGCUUUCUACGGUGGUUCAGAAGGUCAGGGUAGAUGAAACUGCAGAGAUGGUGGGGCCACGGGAAUCCUAUCUGAGGGGAGAUGAGAAGUUCCUGCAAGGAAAAUGAGCUUGAGCUGUUUAUCGACUAAGUUAUGGUAAUGUUUUUUCUCUACGAAAUGUUAUAUUAUGUCAGACCAUAUGGUCAGACGAAGUCUUGAUGAUUGGUUUGUUAUUUAUUAUAACUAUUGUUUGAAACCGUAUAAAUGUACGUAAAAAAUAUAGACAUUUUUAAAAAUAACUGAA